rnacentral:ncRNA from 2 species
GUGCGUCUUCAGGGCGGGGUGAAACUCCCCACCGGCGGUAGGGUGCCAUCUGGCACCGAGCCCGCGAGCGCUUGCCCCGUGCAAGGUCAGCAGAUCCGGUUCAAGGCCGGAGCCGACGGUCAUAGUCCGGAUGAGAGAAGACGAGA